CCUACGGGCGGCAGCAGUAGGGAAUUUUUCACAAUGGGCGAAAGCCUGAUGGAGCAACGCCGCGUGCAGGAUGAAGGCCUUCGGGUUGUAAACUGCUUUUAUAAGCGAGAAAUAUGAUGGUAACUUAUGAAUAAGGAUCGGCUAACUACGUUCCAGCAGCCGCGGUCAUACGUAGGAUCCGAGCAUUAUCCGGAGUGACUGGGUGUAAAGAGUUGCGUAGGUGGCAUAAUAAGUAGCUAGUGAAAUCUGGUGGCUCAACCAUUCAGACUAUUAGCUAAACUGUUAAGCUCGAGACCGUUAGGGGUAACUGGAAUUUCUAGUGUAGGAGUGAAAUCCGUAGAUAUUAGAAGGAACACCAAUAGCGUAGGCAGGUUGCUGGGACGGUUCUGACACUAAGGCACGAAAGCGUAGGGAGCAAACGGGAUUAGAUACCCGAGUAGUC
rnacentral:rRNA from 1 species